GAUCCUGGCUCAGGAUGAACGCUGGCGGCGUGCUUAACACAUGCAAGUCGAACGGAGAGCCCUAGAAGGAGUUUUCGGACAACGGACAGGGUUUCUUAGUGGCGGACGGGUGAGUAACGCGUGAGCAACCUGCCUUGGAGUGGGGAAUAACACAUGGAAACGUGUGCUAAUACCGCAUAACGUAUCUGGGUCGCAUGGCUCUGGAUACCAAAGAUUUAUCGCUCUGAGAUGGACUCGCG
rnacentral:rRNA from 1 species